CGUUGUGCGUUGGAGUUGACCCAGUCUCAUUCGUCUCGCCCGCCCCCGGUUUCCGUUUCCGGUUCCAUCCCGAGUUCCGCCUCCGGUCUCUCCUCCGCCGGCGCAGGAUGGCGGCGGCCGCGGGCACAGCGAGGCAGGAGGGCGCGGCGCCCAGGGUGGGGCUGCUGUACGACCAGAGGAUGCUGGCGCACGCGCCUGCCUUGAACACAGAAAAGGAGACCCCCGAGCGGCUACGCGCCAUCUGGCGCAAGCUCGCCGCCGAGGGCGUCACCUCCAGGUGUGUGGGCAUGAGGGCGAAGGAAGCCAAGGAAAAAUAUAUAGCCUCUGUCCAUGCCCGGAAGCAUGUAGAUCUGAUAAGGAAAAUCAGCUCGAAGGAUAGUUCCGAUCUGAAAAAGACUGCUAAGAAAUUCGAUUCCGUUUACUUCAGCAAAGGCUCCUCAGAGUCUGCUUUCCUUGCGGCUGGUUCUGUCAUCGAGGUUGCUGAGAAGGUUGCGGCUGGUGAGCUGAGUUCUGCUAUCGCUCUAGUCAGACCUCCAGGCCACCAUGCCGAACAUAGCCAUCCCAUGGGAUAUUGCCUCUUCAACAAUGUGGCAAUUGCAGCUAACUACCUGUUAAAUGAAAGGCCUGACCUAGGUAUCAACAAGAUAUUAAUCGUCGAUUGGGAUGUUCAUCAUGGAAAUGGCACGCAGAACAUGUUUUAUAAUGACCCUCGUGUAUUGUUCUUUUCAGUGCACAGAUAUGGUUAUGGAAGCUUCUACCCUUAUGAAGCGGAUGCAUCACACGUUUUCAUUGGGGAUGAAACUGGUCGAGGGUACAACAUUAAUGUGCCCUGGGAGCAUGCGAAAUGCGGUGAUGCAGAUUAUGUUGCUGCAUGGGACCAUGUACUCCUUCCUGUUGCAGAAGCAUUUGAUCCGGAUAUAAUAUUACUGUCUGCUGGGUUUGACGCAGCACUGGGUGAUGAUAUGGGUGAUUGCUGCAUCACUCCAAAUGGAUAUGCACUGCUACUAACAAAGCUGUUAGGUUUUGCAAAAGGAAGGAUUGUGAUGGCCCUUGAAGGAGGUUAUAACCCUGAGUCCAUAGCAAACUCAGUUUGUGCUUGCGCAAAAGUAUUGUUGGGAGAUAAAUUCACACUUAACUCUCCAGAGAUGCAACCAUUCGAAUCUACAUGGAGAGUCAUACAAAUGGUACGCGAUGAAUUAAAGACAUACUGGCCUGUUUUGAGCAGUAAGCUUCCGGAGAACGUAUCUUUGAGGAGUACGCCCUCAUAUAUCCAGCCAUGCACUUCCUCUGGUUCUGAAUCUGAUGUUUUUAGUACGAUAUGCUUGGAGAUCCGCAUUGUCAAAAGUUCAAUAUUUGGUAUGCCAGCUUUGGUUCAAACAUGUGGAAACCAAGAUUCUUGUGCUACAUCGAAGGGGGUAAGGCUUGAGCAGUUCAAUGACACGUUUGAAGAGAACUGUUUAGUGAAGGAUAUCGGCGAAGAUGGAAAAAUCAAGUCUCCUGGCUCUCCUUUGAUUCGCUUGUCUGAAAUAGACUCUGCCUCUUCACAAAAAACUCUUCAUCUUGAACCUAUUAAGGUUGGAUUUGCUGCUUUCCACAUCAAGCACACGCUUAUCCUCCGCAUAGAAUUUUCUAUAUGUCUAUAAAUAAAUGAGAGUUAAUGUCGCAUCGUUGGAAAAAAAUGCUCUUAAGUGCGACUGUCCUGGCAGCACUUUGAUAAAGGACACUGCCAACCUCUUGUGUGGCCAUCACUGGUAGAAUCUAUCACUCUUACAGAUUAACGCUAAUGCCUGCUGUAAUAGUUGAUCCUUUGGUAAGGAAAUGCCAUGUCCUGCCUCUUUUGUCUGUCGGGUUGAUCUGAAGUUAGAAGUAACCUGGGACUGAUGCCUAGUCCAGAUCGCGUUUGGAAUGUUACCUUGGAUUUGAAGCUCUUUUGACAUCAUCACAACAGUGGAAAAAGGAUAUCUGGUACUCCACGUGUAAAACCAAUGUACUCUUAUCUUGAGAGGAGGAUGACGUCCAAUUUUAACUAUGACAAGUGAGGGGGGGUCCGAGAAUUGCAAGCCAGAGGAGCAAGACUGUUGUGGCAAGUUGCAGCUGAGAUGUACAGCCGAAAGAGAGGAUGGGCGACACUGGUGCUGUGAAUGGCUGGAAGGAGUUAUCUGGGAGCUUUUUGAUGACUCGGCUGGGUUGUAUGUUUGCUUCUGCUUUUGGUGGUUGUUGUUGGACAAUUCUGCAAUGCGGUGUUCAGAGCCUAGAAGUAGGGCAUGCGGUUUGUUCUACUGGAGCCUUUGAUAGUGCAGGUAUAGUGGUUUUGACACUACAUUGAGUGUUAUUUCGGGAGAUGGUGUUGUUAUGUAUAUGGUCGAACCUGAUUGUGCUGGUUGUUUGCAAGUUAACCUGUUGCAUCAUUAUCGAUUUCAUGAUGAAUGAAAUUGGGAGCGAUGCCCUUUAAGCCGAAAAAAUAAAA